UACCCUUUCAUUAUUUUACAUUAACUAUCCUUCUACUCUAAAACCCUUCCCUACGUAUAACACAUUCCCACGAUCACGAUCAGAUACGACUUCAAUUCCAUCAUCGUCCACUGCUUGCUUCAUUCCGUCGCCGCCUCCGCCUUGCUUCACCGUCUCUGCAGCCUCCGGUUUACUCCACUGUCGUCGUUCAUCAACUGCUUCAAGCUUGCUUCAUAGAUGGGUUCAAUAGAGUAAAAAAAGAAAGAGAAAGAAAGAGAAAGAAAGAGAAAAGAAACAUACAUGGAAAUGAUUUGACUCAGUCCAAUGCUAGUUCUCAAGGCACAUUGCAAGAUUAUGUCACCGAUUAAUAUAUUUGAGUUGAAUGUUAUUAAAUUUCCUAGUUUUUUUAAUAGUUAGUUCUAUAUUUUUUGAUUCGGAUUAUUGUUUGGUUGUCUAUUUAGACGGCUGUUUGAUCACAUUUUUUGGUAAAAGCUUUGUGAAAUAUAUAGUGUUGUUUUGAAUGGCUAGUUAAAAUUUUCAAUGUUA